UACGUAGGUGGCAAGCGUUGUCCGGAUUUACUGGGCGUAAAGAGCGCGCAGGCGGUCGUUCAAGUCGAGUGUGAAAGCCCCCGGCUCAACUGGGGAGGGUCACUCGAUACUGAUCGACUUAAAGGCGGGAGAGGGAAGCGGAAUUCCCGGUGUAGUGGUGAAAUGCGUAGAUAUCGGGAGGAACACCAGUGGCGAAGGCGGCUUUCUGGCCCGUUCUUGACGCUGAGGCGCGAAAGCUAGGGUAGCAAACGGG
rnacentral:rRNA from 1 species